rnacentral:rRNA from 1 species
UUGUGGAUCAGUGGCGAACGGGUGAGUAACACGUGAGCAACCUGCCCCUGACUCUGGGAUAAGCGCUGGAAACGGCGUCUAAUACUGGAUACGAGUAGCGGCCGCAUGGUCAGUUACUGGAAAGAUUUAUUGGUUGGGGAUGGGCUCGCGGCCUAUCAGCUUGUUGGUGAGGUAAUGGCUCACCAAGGCGUCGACGGGUAGCCGGCCUGAGAGGGUGACCGGCCACACUGGGACUGAGACACGGCCCAGACUCCUACGGGAGGCAGCAGUGGGGAAUAUUGCACAAUGGGCGCAAGCCUGAUGCAGCAACGCCGCGUGAGGGAUGACGGCCUUCGGGUUGUAAACCUCUUUUAGCAGGGAAGAAGCGAGAGUGACGGUACCUGCAGAAAAAGCACCGGCUAACUACGUGCCAGCAGCCGCGGUAAUACGUAGGGUGCAAGCGUUAUCCGGAAUUAUUGGGCGUAAAGAGCUCGUAGGCGGUUUGUCGCGUCUGCUGUGAAAUCUGGGGGCUCAACCCCCAGCCUGCAGUGGGUACGGGCAGACUAGAGUGCGGUAGGGGAGAUUGGAAUUCCUGGUGUAGCGGUGGAAUGCGCAGAUAUCAGGAGGAACACCGAUGGCGAAGGCAGAUCUCUGGGCCGUAACUGACGCUGAGGAGCGAAAGGGUGGGGAGCAAACAGGCUUAGAUACCCUGGUAGUCCACCCCGUAAACGUUGGGAACUAGUUGUGGGGUCCAUUCCACGGAUUCCGUGACGCAGCUAACGCAUUAAGUUCCCCGCCUGGGGAGUACGGCCGCAAGGCUAAAACUCAAAGGAAUUGACGGGGACCCGCACAAGCGGCGGAGCAUGCGGAUUAAUUCGAUGCAACGCGAAGAACCUUACCAAGGCUUGACAUAUACGAGA